rnacentral:lncRNA from 1 species
UUAAAAAUAAGUUGGAUCACAUCCAAGGUUAUUUCUGGAACAUUGAAGCUAUAAUUUUUUAUGAUAUGCUUUCCUAAAUGGGGAAUAAAAGGAUGGUAUACAUUUAGAGGUAGGAAUUUCAAAAUUAUGUUUACACCUUAGGAGCAGGUUCCUGUGACUGUUAUCUGAGCCAUCUACUAUGGUGACAAGAAAGGCAGAUAAUUAUUUUUUAAUCUGUGCAUCAACUCUUCUUUAAGGAAAUCCAAGGUGUUUUUGUUUGGGGGUACAGAAAUAUUUGGCAUCAAAUAUUAAACAUUUACUGUAUGUCAAAAUCUUGCCUACAGCCUUGCAAACUGGGUCUUGNNNNNNNNNNNNNGUAGUUAAGAAAACUGAAGCUGAGUGAAAGCCAGUGACUUGUGAACACUACACAGCUAAUAAGCAGUAGAACUGGGAAUCAGCUAGAAUCAUCCCACUCUAAAGCUUACGGUCACGUCACAAAAAUAGUGAUGCACCGUAUCAAGAUAUAUGUCAUCCAUCUUUGGGGGCACCCGUCCCUGUCCUGGGCUCUCAAACCCUCCCUAAGUGAGACUGACUCGGAGUUAGAUCGGGUGAGCCAGGAACCUAACGUGAAAGGCUGAAGGAAAGAAAGAAGGGAGGGAAGGAGGGCAUGGGAACAGGAGGGGCUGGCGGGGACCCAGAAGAGCAGCAGUCCCUGCCCCACUCCACCCCGGGUGCAUUUCAAGUGCAAAAUAACUCCGCAGGGGCAGCAAUUACGUGGGGCAGGCGUGUGCCUCUCUGUAAGUGCAUAGGUGGGAGCCCAUCUCACAGGUCAAUUUCUCCUCCACUUUAUGGGCUGUAACAUGCUGUGCACAUCACGGUUCUUCAGGACAAAUGCAUUUCAGAAGAAAAAUUAGUCUUGAACACUGAAACUUGCAACCAUGUAUAUUUUACCAAACGUCAAUCCCUAUUUGCUGCCUGAUUUGAGUGAGUCUGAUUCAUUAUGCAGUUUCAAGCCUGAGAAAGUUCUUUCAAAUAGAAAAAGAAAAAAGAAAAAGUGACUUGUCCCAAAUCUUGGACCACAUGCAGUUUCCAGAAGUAUAAUUUAAGUCAUUUUCCAUCAUUCACUUAUAAUUUUGCUUUCUACUCUCCUGCUUCCAGCUAGGUUACAACCUCCUGGCCAUAAGAAAAAUUGCCUCAAGUCUUACCUUAAUUCUCCCAUUUUCAGAUAAUUUCAGAUAAGAGCACAUAUUUGUUUGAGAGUCUACUGUACUAUUCUCCUUUCUCUGACUAAAUGUUAGACUAAUUUUUUUUUAUUUCAAAUUUCUCUUCAAACUGUGACACUCUUCACUAAUGAUUAAGUAUAAUAUUACUUAUGAUCAUGUAAGAGGAUCCUUCUAGAUGCAAAAUUUCUCAAGACAGGUAUUUUUUGUCAUGAUUAUCAAAUUAUCCUGAGACCUCUUUUAAAAUAAUAUAAUGUGGUGAAACAAAUUUAAAUUCUGUU